rnacentral:rRNA from 1 species
UACGUAGGGUGCGAGCGUUGUCCGGAAUUAUUGGGCGUAAAGAGCUCGUAGGCGGUCUGUCGCGUCGGAUGUGAAAACCCAGGGCUCAACCCUGGGCCUGCAUUCGAUACGGGCAGACUAGAGUUCGGUAGGGGAGACUGGAAUUCCUGGUGUAGCGGUGAAAUGCGCAGAUAUCAGGAGGAACACCGGUGGCGAAGGCGGGUCUCUAGGCCGACACUGACGCUGAGGAGCGAAAGCGUGGGGAGCGAACAGG